rnacentral:misc_RNA from 1 species
AUGGCUGUGGUCGGCCCGAGUCGACACUCCAGGGUGUCAAUGUCACUGAUGCAGGGCUCGACGAACGGUCCAGUUGGCAACCACCAGCAGGCCAGCGCUUCGCAACAGUUUUUCCACGCUCAACAGCAGUCUCACCAUGCCGCGCAAUCGGCCACUGCACAUCCGGUGGACUAUAAGCCUGACAGACCGAUUGGAUAUGGCGCCUUUGGAGUCGUCUGGGCUGUUACAGAUCCACGAGACGGACGAAGAGUUGCGUUGAAGAAGCUUCCAAAUGUUUUUCAAUCUCUAGUCUCCUCGAAACGAGUGUUUAGAGAAUUAAAAAUGUUAUGCAAUUUUAAACACGAAAAUGUAUUGUCCGCCCUUGACAUUCUGCAACCGCCUCAUUUGGAUUUUUUUCAAGAAAUAUACGUAAUAACGGAACUAAUGCAGAGUGACUUGCACAAAAUUAUAGUGUCGCCGCAGCAGCUGUCACCGGACCAUAUAAAAGUUUUCCUCUAUCAAAUCCUCAGGGGUCUCAAGUAUCUGCAUUCUGCACGAAUAUUGCACAGAGACAUCAAACCAGGAAAUCUUCUCGUCAACAGUAAUUGUAUUCUAAAGAUAUGUGACUUUGGUCUGGCCAGAGUAGAAGAACCAGACGAGACGAAACACAUGACUCAAGAAGUGGUGACACAAUAUUAUAGGGCACCGGAAAUAUUGAUGGGAGCCAAACAUUACACAUCAGCCAUAGACGUGUGGAGCGUCGGUUGUAUAUUUGCCGAACUCGUCACCCGGCGGAUACUGUUCCAAGGCCAAGAUACAGUUCAACAAUUGGAGUUGAUAACGGACUUGCUCGGUACGCCGACCAUGGAAGACAUGGCCCACGCGUGUCCGGCCGCCCGUUCCCACAUGCUCAUACGACGCAUGAAGAAACCGUCCAUGUCGCUAUUGUAUUCACUGUCUUCGUUGAUGACGCACGAGGCGGUUCACUUGAUUUCCCAAAUGCUAGUUUUCAAUCCGGAUAAACGGAUGUCUGUUAUGGACGCGCUGGUCCAUCCUUACAUAGACGAGGGUCGUCUUAGGUAUCACAGCUGUAUGUGUAAAUGCUGUUUCACGGUACCGUUGACGGGUCUGCGGCAUUUCUGUAUGGACUACGAACCGGUUGCGCCACAGACGUUCGACGACAAAUGGGAGAAGAAAAUGUCGAACGUACAACAAGUCAAAGAGGAACUUCACAAGUUUAUUGGCGACCAAUUGAGCAGUCAUCGCGUACCAUUGUGUAUAAAUCCCCAGUCAGCAGCAUUUAAAAGUUUCUCUAGGUAAGGCUGUGAGAAACAUCCAACUCUUCUGAAUCACCAAAUAAACUACACCUCGACUAACCGUGAUGUUUGAUCGGAGCAGACUGCCUCAAUUCCUUAUAUUUAUAUGUAUUUACAUUGUGUAUAUAUAUAUAUUAUAUUAACGUGAUAACCGGAUCUCAAAUUGGGCCCCCCGAGACCGAGACUGAAUGAAUGUAACACAAAUAAAAUCGAGACAAGAAGAUUAAACAUAAAAAAAAAAUUGUACAUAGUUCUGAAUUUUUAUUUCUUUCUUUUUAUUAUAUGUGUGAGCAAAAUGCUUGAUUUUUACUGAUUUAGACGAUUGAAAGCUCAGUGUCCCAACUUUUAUUUAUAUUUUUUUUUUUAGUACGCUUAUUUUCUUAUAAUAAUUAUUAUUUUUUAAUUCUUUUUUUUUUUUACCAACGAUAAAUUUUUUCGAUUUUCUCCGAUUUUUAAUGUUUACCAAUAUUAUAUAAUAACGCAUCUUAUUUAUAAAUAUGAAAAAAUAAAUAAUACUUGAUUUUUAAACUUUAUUCAUCCGGUAAUGAUAUUAAAAACAUACGCACACGAUGAACGCUAUAGGUUUAAAGACAUAACAUCAGCUUUAAACGGUCAUAAAAAGUAAUGUAUCGGAAAGACGUGUAUUUUAUAUUUUUAAUUGUGUAUAAUAUAUUAACGCGGUAAAAGACGAAUACGAGAACGCGGUAGUUUGCGUGGAAAAUACUUUUUGUAAAUAACGUACCUAAGUGAUUUUUUUUUCGUAAUGUAAAUAAUUAUUUGUACAUUUUAAAUGUGUAUUAUAAUAAUAUGUGAAUCGCACUUAA